GGGCUUCAUAGUCUUGCAAUUGGAAUGAGUAGAUUUUAAAUCUCUUUACGAGUAUCAAUUGGAGGGCAAGUCUGGUGCCAGCAGCCGCGGUAAUUCCAGCUCCAAUAGCGUAUAUUAAAGUUGUUGCGGUUAAAAAGCUCGUAGUUGGAUUUCUGCCAAGAACGACCGUCCUACCUUCGGGUUUUGGACCGUGUUGAUCGAGGCAUUCUUCUAGAUUCUAUCUACUCUUAAUUGCUGUAGAAUUGAACUAGAACAUUUACUUUGAGGAAAUUAGAGCGUUUCAAGCAGG
rnacentral:rRNA from 1 species